rnacentral:rRNA from 1 species
GACGAACGCUGGCGGCGUGCUUAACACAUGCAAGUCGAACGGAAAGGCCCUGCUUUUGUGGGGUGCUCGAGUGGCGAACGGGUGAGUAACACGUGAGUAACCUGCCCUUGACUUUGGGAUACUUCAGGAAACUGGGGCUAAUACCGGAUAAGAGCUCCUGCUGCAUGGUGGGGGGUGGAAAGUUUCGGCGGGUGGGGAUGGACUCGCGGCUUAUCAGCUUGUUGGUGGGGUAGUGGCUUACCAAGGCUUUGACGGGUAGCCGGCCUGAGAGGGUGACCGGCCACAUUGGGACUGAGAUACGGCCCAGACUCCUACGGGAGGCAGCAGUGGGGAAUAUUGCACAAUGGGCGGAAGCCUGAUGCAGCAACGCCGCGUGCGGGAUGACGGCCUUCGGGUUGUAAACCGCUUUCGCCUGUGACGAAGCGUGAGUGACGGUAAUGGGUAAAGAAGCACCGGCUAACUACGUG